rnacentral:lncRNA from 10 species
AUCAGCCCCGGCGCUCUCUCAUCCCUUCUCUCUUCCUUGGUGCUUCUUUUUCCUGCUCGGUGAGUUUGUUUGUUUGUUUGUUUUUGAGACAGAGUCUCACUUUGCUUCCCAGGCUGGAGUGCAGUGGUGCGAUCUCAGCUUACUGCAGCCUCCGCUUCCGGGGUUCAAGCGAUUCUCCUGCCUCAGCCUGCCAAGUAGCUGGGACUACCGGCGCCCACCACCACGCCUGGCUAAUUUUUGAAUUUUUAGUAGAGAGUGGGUUUCACUAUGUUGGCCAGGCUGGUCUGGAACGCCUGACCUCAAGUGAUCCGUCCGCCUCGGCCUUCCAAAGUUCUGGGAUUACAGGCGUGAGCCACCGCGCCCGGCCUGAGUGAGUCUUAAUCCGUGGCCAUCUGCGUUCCUGCAGGCUUCAUCUGGCCCUAUGGUCCCCUGGCAUCAUGGCUGCCCUCAGAUCCCUUGUGAAGCCCAAGAUCGUCAAAAAGAGAACCAAGAAAUUCAUCCGGCACCAGUCAGACCGAUAUGUCAAAAUCAAGAUGAGAAGAAUAAUGUCUGGGGUGAAGGUGAAGCACCCAGCCCAAGACUCAGCAGCCAGGAAGUGGCCCAGCGCUCUUUAUACCACGGGUGCAGGAAUUCACACAGAAAAGUGGAGGCCAAGGCGUGAGAAUUCCUCAAUGACUGCCCUCUAAAGGAAGAGGACCAGGCUUCCUGUCAGAGACUGAGGACCCAGGAAGAAACAUGUCUCGGCCCCUGUCCCCCUCCACAAUUCAGAGGCCACAUUCUAACAGGGGAGGCUGACCAAUUAAACAGAUAAUGACACCUCCUAGAGCUAAGAGCUCUCCGACUAUGAACCAGAUGCCUGGAGAACACGGAUGAAUGGUCUGAGCAUGAGCAGGGGUGGGAGGCAGCGUUAAGGGAGGCAUCAGAGUCAGAACCUAGCAAACAAGUGUUUGUGAAGAAGAAUUCAUAGAAAAGGGCAAUGCGGGCAUCACAUGGGCUAAGGAACAGAGGGGUAGCAGUAGCUGUUGUGCCAAGCUGCAGGUGUUAUACACUACCCUCUAGAUCUGGGUUUCCUUAAAACACCUUGAGAGGACAACCCUGCAAAGCACGGCACAGUGGCCGAGAGGGAAAGGAGCAUUCGAGGUCUCAGUCCUCGCUCUGAGCCUACUUCUCUGCUUCUGGGCUCCAGCCAUCUUUGUGGAAAGGGGGCUGCUAGUGACACCCUCUCAAGGGUCUUUCCAGCUCUAGGUCGGCUGUGCUGGAGUCUAGGAUUUGCCCACUGAGAAAUCUGUUUCCAAGUUCCUUCAACCUGAUGCAUCCUGCAGCAUCACGGCAGCUGUUCAGAGUGGUCAGAAGGCCCCUGAAUGAGCUCAGUAGAGGGAAGCCUGGGAACAGGGAGGCACCUGCAGCUCUACUCAUGGCCUGGCCAGAGCUCAGCAGCUCUUCUCUGCCAUCUAGUGGGGAUGGCAUACCAUCACUGGGGACCACCCUGUGCAAACUGGUGAGCCUGAGUGCCUGUCACAGAGGGAAAGAAAGGGGGGGGAUACAGGAUUUAGAUGAAAUAGCAACUCCUACCCUAUUGUCAAAAUCAUCCAGCUUUUUCAAAACAUCAUAUUGUACUGAUUUUUUUGUGUUUUUGACAGAGUCUUGCUGUGUCACCAAGGCUGGAAUGCAGUGGCAUGAUCUCGGCUCACUGUAGCCUCUGUCUCCCUGGUUCAAGCAAUUCUGCCCCAGCCUCCCAAGUAGCUGGGACUACAGGCAUGCGCCACCACACCCAGCUAAGUUUUGUAUUUUUUUAGUAGAGUCAGGGUUUUACUUUGGCCAGGCUGGUCUUAAACUCCUGGCCUCAACUGAUCUGCCUGUCUCGGCCUCCCAAAGAACUGGGAUUACAGGCAUGAGGCACCGUGCCUGUCCCAUGUUGUACUUAAUAGAUAUUUACCAUAUACAAUUAUUUUUUAAUUUAAAUAAAUCAAUGAACAGUGUUAUUUUUUAAAUCUUGUGGCUUUAAUACACCCUUUCAAUUCUCAGGGAGUGUUUUGGUGAUACAGGCUGGGGAGUUAAAUAAAUGAACGAAUAAACUUA